rnacentral:rRNA from 1 species
CAGUCGCCGCGGUAAUACGUAGGUGGCAAGCGUUGUCCGGAAUUAUUGGGCGUAAAGCGAGCGCAGGCGGUUAGAUAAGUCUGAAGUUAAAGGCAUUGGCUCAACCAAUGUAUGCUUUGGAAACUGUUAGACUUGAGUGCAGAAGGGGAGAGUGGAAUUCCAUGUGUAGCGGUGAAAUGCGUAGAUAUAUGGAGGAACACCGGUGGCGAAAGCGGCUCUCUGGUCUGUCACUGACGCUGAGGCUCGAAAGCGUGGGUAGCGAACAGGAUUAGAUACCCCAGUAGUCCCUGUCUCUUAUAAA